UUUUAUCAACGUGUGUUGUUAAUUAAUAAAUUAAAAUUGACGGCACUUUUGUCAUUUUAUAAUAAAUCUAGAAUAGACUCAAACCCAUCAUCUGUCUUACUGAUUGAACAGACACAAACCCAUCCCUUCCAAUUUUCUCCAUACUUCCGGAAAAUGCUCAGUUCUUUCAAUCCCUUCAGACAAGUUCAGGUUCUAUCUGAAUGGCUAUUCACUUUGUUAUUGGGUUUUUAAAGUUAUGGGAUCACUUGAAGUUACAAUUUUGGUGAACAGUAUGUCGAAGGCUGCAUAACCUAUCCCGCAAUCAACAUUACAGGUGGAAAAGAGAGAGCAAAUCAAGCUCCAGAUAAUUUGAAAGGAGUUCUCGAUUAUUUGGAUCUGAGGAGAAAAGAAAGCUCCAAUAGAGGCUAAUAGGUUGAAGGCAUUGCUAAGAGCUGUUUCUCUACUGCUCUUAUCAAGUCUACUUGAUUGUUUCUACAUAAAGCCCGAUAAAGAUUGUAACGAGAGGAUGGUCAUGUAUCGUUUGUCAGAUUAAGAAUAUGUCCUCCUUCCGGACAAAAUAAACGGAUGAUCUGUCCGUUUCUGCCUACUUAUGUUGCUUCUGUUGGAAUAAUGCUUAAUUGUCCUAAUACUUGGUUGAAUUUGAACUAAAAGUACAAAUUGUCUGAGUUCAAGUGCUCUUCAUGAUGCUUAGAUCCGUAGUUCCAAUGUAUUUCUUAGGAUCAUAUUGAGUCCCACAAGGUUUAUCAGAAGACAAACAGAUUAGGUUGUAUUGAGCUGGUCCUUUUUUUUUUUUUUUGGUGAUGAAGUAAUGCUAAGAAAAAUACAAGAUUAGCUCCACAACAGAAACUGAUGUGAAGCUAAAGAUAUAAGUGGCAUGAAUUAAUCUUCUUUUUCAAUUAUUAGAGCAGUUCAGUAUUUGCAAUUUAUGCAGUAGCUAUUUCGAUUAGUGCAUUUUGAUACUGAGAGAAACUCAGUUAAAGAGUCCUUUGUAGAAAAUGAAUUUUAAAGAUGAUGAGCUUAAUUGCAAAAGCAUUAAAAGAUAUGAGCUUUCCUCGGAUUGGGUAGAUAAACAAUUUCAUUUUUAAUAUGCGUCCCGCUCUUUUUUUUUUUUUUUUUUUUUUCUUUCGAGUAAUAUGGGGAUAGGCAACACUCCUUUGCUUGGGGUAUCACGUUUUGUACCAUUCUUAUCCAUAGUUUCUCAGGAAUAUAUAAUUCUUAAGAGAUUAUCUACUUAUGUCCUUGAAAAUUUAGAUUAUCUGCUUAUGUCCUUGAAGAUGUAAUUCUUAAGAGACUAUCUGGUUAUGUCCUUGAAAACGUUUGUUCUUUCUAAUUUUCUUUUGUAUUGGAAACAAGUGCGACUUGAACCAAUUUUUUGUGUCUGAGAGUAGAAAAAUGGGAGUGUAUGCAGGUUGUCUGCUUUGCUACUUCACAGACACUCAUCAAAUGUUACUUUUGGGAAUUAGUAAAGAGAAAAUUACAUGUUGAUUGGUGUAAAUUCAGCUGACAUGGCUAACCAAGACAUAUUGGGAUGAUUCGGAAAGCAUUUCAAGGAUGCUGAAUUGAAAGCGUUGAAGGUUUUCUAUCUUAAGAUAUAUAAAGCACUGCCAUGUUGCAAUGUAAUAACUUCAUUAAAGUUUGUUCCUUCAAAAAAGACAUAUUUGAUUGUACUCGAAUCAUUCUCUGCACAAGAAUGAGUUGGAUUGUGCUCAUGGCGUGAAACCAGAUGAAGUGUGAGGGUGGCUCAUUUAUUUAAGUGAGUGGUAUAAAUGCUACAAAUUGAGCUAUCUUUCCAAACUAUGGCUCAUGUAUUUAAGUGAGUGGCAUAAAUGCUGUAAAUUUGAGUUUUCUUUCCAAAUAGCAAACACGAAUAAAAUAAAGUUUUAAAUACGGAGCACAAACUACAAUGUUA